rnacentral:rRNA from 1 species
CGUGUAGGCGGCCAACUAAGUCCGACGUGAAAUCCCUAGGCUUAACCUAGGAACUGCGUCGGAUACUGGAUGGCUUGAAUCCGGGAGAGGGAUGCGGAAUUCCAGGUGUAGCGGUGAAAUGCGUAGAUAUCUGGAGGAACACCGGUGGCGAAGGCGGCAUCCUGGACCGGUAUUGACGCUGAAGCGCGAAAGCCAGGGGAGCAAACGGGAUUAGAUACCCCGGUAGUCCUGGCCCUAAACGAUGAAUGUUUGGUGUGGCGGGUAUCGAUCCCUGCCGUGCCGAAGCUAACGCAUUAAACAUUCCGCCUGGGGAGUACGGUCGCAAGGCUGAA